rnacentral:lncRNA from 1 species
UAGUAGCCAGCGUUAAUCUAGCUUGGAGUAGACUUAUCCGGAGACGGAGGUGAGCACACGGCGUUUUGUACUAUUUCAGUCUCCAUCUGUAUAUAUAGACUUGUCUUUUUCCUUUCGAGACAGUCCAGUCUCUGUUGUCCGGUUUUAGGACUUGUACUCAUUUUGUAGUAGCUCUGUACUAGUGACUUCCAGGUUCUGGGAGAGAUCUUUAUUUGUAUAUAUGUUUUUGGUUUGCGU